rnacentral:misc_RNA from 1 species
AUUAAAAAAAAAAAGAGAAAAGAAAAGAGUGGUAAAUGGCUUGUUGGUGCAUGCAGCCACAAAGCUAAUGGCUUCCUUUAGGGUCAUGCUAACUAGAAAUAAAUGACAAUCUCAACUAGGUGCAAUGGAUUUCACUAUGCAACUAUAUACCCGCUCCAAGUAAGAGCACUUGUUACAGAAAUGUUUACAAGCAAAGGAUCCUUUUCUCUUCCUUCUCUCUUGUUGUUGUUGUUGUUGUUGUGUGUG